GUCAAGGAUGAAUUCACAAAUAGAUCAAAAGGAUAUGCAUUUAUUCAAUACACUUCUCAGGAUGAGGCUAUGAUUGCCAUAGAGAACAUGGAUCAACAGGUAUUUGAUGGCAGGAUAUAGUUGAAAUAGCAAAACCGGGAAAAGACCGGUUCAAGGAUAUCCUAAAACAUCAGGACCCCCGAGUGCUACGCCGCAGUUACAACAACUGAACGAUGUCGCAGACUGCUGGUACUAGACACAUCCAUCUUUUAUGAAAAGAUGUUGGAGCAAAGGAGAAUAUGUGACCGAUAGCCCCAAAAUAAGCUUGGUGAUUUAAUUUACCCUUCAUAGCAAGGUUAGUUGGGCAACUAAGUAAACAAGAGGGAUUUGUGAGUGUUUCUAAUGGCAUCAGGGGUUUUGCACAUGAAUUCUUAUUUAUGUUGAUUGAUACAUAACUAGUAGAUUAGAUGCCAUACAGAAACAAUUAUCGUUUGUAACA